UACGGAGGGUGCAAGCGUUGUUCGGAAUUAUUGGGCGUAAAGGGCGCGUAGGCGGUUGUGAUAGUCAGAUGUGAAAUCCUCCGGCUUAACUGGAGAACUGCAUCUGAAACUUCAUAGCUAGAGUACAGGAGAGGGAAACGGAAUUCCCGGUGUAGAGGUGGAAUUCGUAGAUAUCGGGAGGAACACCAGUGGCGAAGGCGGUUUCCUGGCCUGAUACUGACGCUGAGGCGCGAAAGCGUGGGGAGCAAACAGGAUUAGAUACCCGUGUAGUCCCU
rnacentral:rRNA from 1 species